rnacentral:rRNA from 1 species
UAACACCUACGGGAGGCAGCAGUAGGGAAUUUUCGUCAAUGGGCGCAAGCCUGAACGAGCGAUGCCGCGUGAGUGAAGAAGGCCUUCGGGUCGUAAAGCUCUGUUGCGGGGGAAAAAAGGCAGCAUCAGGAAAUGGGUGCUGACUGAUGGUGCCCCGCCAGAAAGUCACGGCUAACUACGUGCCAGCAGCCGCGGUAAUACAUAGGUGGCGAGCGUUAUCCGGAAUGAUUGGGCGUAAAGGGUGCGCAGGCGGUCCUGCAAGUCUGGAGUGAACAGCAUGAGCUCAACUCAUG